rnacentral:rRNA from 1 species
AUUCCAGCUCCAAUAGCAUAUAUUAAAGUUGUUGCAGUUAAAAAGCUCGUAGUUGGAUUUCUGGCAUGAUGCGCCUGGCCCGCCUCGAUUACGAGUGUGUGUGCGAGUGCGCGUCUGCCAUCCAUUUGCAGGACAUGUCUACCCUUCAUUGGGCCGGAUAUGUGAUGUAAAUCUUUUACUUUGAAAAAAUUAGAGUGUUUAAAGCAGGCAUUUGCUAUGAAUACAUUAGCAUGGAAUAAUAAUCUAGGACUUCGGUUCUAUUUUGUUGGUUUCUAGAUCUGGAGUAAUGAUUGAUAGGGAUAGUUGGGGGUGCUAGUAUUAAGGGGCCAGAGGUGAAAUUCUUGGAUUCUCUUAAGACUAACUUAUGCGAAAGCAUUCACCAAGGAUGUCUUCAUCG